rnacentral:misc_RNA from 1 species
GAUGAAGAACGCAGCGAAAUGCGAUAAGUAAUGUGAAUUGCAGAAUUCAGUGAAUCAUCGAAUCUUUGAACGCACAUUGCGCCCCUUGGAAUUCCGAGGGGCAUGCCCGUUCGAGCGUCAUUAUAACCCCUCAAGCUCAGCUUGGUGUUGGGGCCUGCCGCACGGGCAGCCCUUAAAAUCAGUGGCGGUGCUAUCUGGCUCUAAGCGUAGUAAUUCUUCUCGCUAUAGAGUCCCGGUGGAUGCUUGCCAUUAACCCCCAAUUUUCUAUGGUUGACCUCGGAUCAGGUAGGGAUACCCGCUGAACUUAAGCAUAUCAAUAAGCGGAGGA